rnacentral:tRNA from 1 species
GCCCUUGUAGCUCAGUGGCAGAGCAUCUCCUUGGUAAGGAGAAGGUCAUGGGUUCAAUUCUCAUCAAGGGCU